rnacentral:rRNA from 1 species
UACGUAGGGGGCAAGCGUUGUCCGGAAUUAUUGGGCGUAAAGAGCGUGUAGGCGGCCAGAUAAGUCCGCUGUGAAAUCUCGAGGCUCAACUUCGAGCUGUCGGUGGAAACUAUCUGGCUAGAGUCCGGAAGAGGAGAAUGGAAUUCCUGGUGUAGCGGUGAAAUGCGCGGAUAUCAGGAAGAACACCCGUGGCGAAGGCGGUUCUCUGGGACGGUACUGACGCUGAGGAGCGAAAGCGUGGGGAGCGAACAGG